UUUUACAUAGUAUAUUAUGUACAGUUACCUUCCAAGUAAACAGUCUCGGUGAGUGUUUUUU
rnacentral:tRNA from 1 species